rnacentral:rRNA from 1 species
AUUGAACGCUGGCGGCAGGCCUAACACAUGCAAGUCGAGCGGAUGAAGGGAGCUUGCUCCUGGAUUCAGCGGCGGACGGGUGAGUAAUGCCUAGGAAUCUGCCUGGUAGUGGGGGAUAACGUCCGGAAACGGGCGCUAAUACCGCAUACGUCCUGAGGGAGCAAGUGGGGGAUCUUCGGACCUCACGCUAUCAGAUGAGCCUAGGUCGGAUUAGCUAGUUGGUGGGGUAAAGGCCUACCAAGGCGACGAUCCGUAACUGGUCUGAGAGGAUGAUCAGUCACACUGGAACUGAGACACGGUCCAGACUCCUACGGGAGGCAGCAGUGGGGAAUAUUGGACAAUGGGCGAAAGCCUGAUCCAGCCAUGCGGCGUGUGUGAAGAAGGUCUUCGGAUUGUAAAGCACUUUAAGUUGGGAGGAAGGGCAGUAAGUUAAUACCUUGCUGUUUUGACGUUACCAACAGAAUAAGCACCGGCUAACUUCGUG